rnacentral:rRNA from 1 species
UACGGGGGGGGCAAGCGUUGUUCGGAAUUACUGGGCGUAAAGGGCUCGUAGGUGGCCAACUAAGUCAGACGUGAAAUCCCUCGGCUUAACCGGGGAACUGCGUCUGAUACUGGAUGGCUUGAGUUUGGGAGAGGGACGCGGAAUUCCAGGUGUAGCGGUGAAAUGCGUAGAUAUCGGGAGGAAUACCUAUGGCGAAAGCAGGCUACUGGACCAUCACUGACGCUGAUCUGCGAAAGCUAGGGGAGCAAACAGG